rnacentral:rRNA from 1 species
CAUAUCGACGGCGGUGUUUGGCACCUCGAUGUCGGCUCAUCACAUCCUGGGGCUGAAGUAGGUCCCAAGGGUAUGGCUGUUCGCCAUUUAAAGUGGUACGCGAGCUGGGUUUAGAACGUCGUGAGACAGUUCGGUCCCUAUCUGCCGUGGGCGCUGGAGAAUUGAGGGGGGCUGCUCCUAGUACGAGAGGACCGGAGUGGACGCAUCACUGGUGUUCGGGUUGUCAUGCCAAUGGCACUGCCCGGUAGCUAAAUGCGGAAGAGAUAAGUGCUGAAAGCAUCUAAGCACGAAACUUGCCCCGAGAUGAGUUCUCCCUGAGACUUUAAGUCUCCUGAAGGAACGUUGAAGACGACGACGUUGAUAGGCCGGGUGUGUAAGCGCAGCGAUGCGUUGAGCUAACCGGUACUAAUGAACCGUGAGGCUUAACCUUACAACGCCGAAG